UACAUUAUUCCUCCACGUCAUUCCUUCACCUCAUUUCUCUCGGUCAUCCUGGAUCUCUCCGAUUAUAAAUAAGCUUGUGUCUCUCUCUCGUCAAGACGCAACACAUAUCACGUCAGUAUUGUUGAUGUAAGCCAUUUUGAGGGCCUAAAUAACCAAGAUUUAUAAGAAUAAAAACCCUAUUUUAAUUAAUAUCAAUGAAAGUAGUGACAUAUAAAUGGGACCAACAAGUAUAAGGACUUAAGCAAUAUUGUAUAUCAAAAAUGUAUCCUUGUAACAACUAAUUAUAUUAGAUAAAAAUUAAUUAGUACAAUGGAAAUGAUAAUUCUCUUAUUACUAUACUUUUAUCUAUCCUAUUUAAUCAAAAAAAAAAAAACAAUAAUAAUUGUCCAAAUUUAGACAUUGACUUUGAUUGUAUUCCAAUAUCUAUGUUUAUCAUUGGCAUCAAGUAGUCUUCAAUACAAUUAUUAAUCAUUUGGAUGGAUCUCUCCUACGUAGCAAUCGGGGGUAUAUGGAUCUGCAUCCUUCCCAUUCCUAGGAAUAUCCAAUUCACACAUGAAUAUCUUCAUGUCAAGAUCCUCUAGGGAAUCAUCGUAUACUUCUACAUAUGAUAACUAAAUGUUCCAUAAAAGACCAAAAAGACAACCCGGUGAGGAACAAAGAGAGUUCUCGUCCUCCAUCCACAGCUCCUUUUUUGAAAUUCUUGAAAGUCAAAUCUGCUUCGUUUCCUACUCUAUUCACAAUAUCUUGACAAUUUUCGUUGAGAUGUCGAUCUUACCAUGAGUUAUUGAUUUCAUAGAAUUCAAAAAGGUUGGCAAUCUUUAAUUUUGAAAAACUUAAUGAUGGGAGAGGCUAUGUAUCAGGAUGUAUAAACCAAUAGAUUGGCUUGAGAUUCUUCCAUAGUAAAAUUAUAAUUAGAAAAACUGAAAAUUAAUUUAUGUAUUUGGAAGAAUUGUAUCACUGCUUAAAAAUUAUAGGAUGUUUUUAUUUUCACAUUCAUGCUUAUUUGAUUCUGAUGUAAUAGUAUAAAUUCAUUUCUUUAUUUAUUAAAAAUAUAUACAUAAUGAUAUAUUAUGUUCUCUUAAUCAAAAUAAAUGUAUUGAAAAAUGUU
rnacentral:lncRNA from 1 species